rnacentral:lncRNA from 1 species
AAGCAGGUCACCAUGAAGUAAGAGCAUGUCUUAUCUUUGCAUGUCAAGCAUUAUUUUGUGUUUCACUUUUAUAGGAGAAGAAAAAGAGACAUUAUGUCAUUCUUCUGAUUGUGAAUUUAAUUAAAAUCCUGAUUCCUGGAUGGUAUCGUGGGCCUAUUGAAUGAGAAUCUCUGGAGCUAGAACUGGAAAUCUGCAUUUUAACAAAUAAGUCUGGUGAUUUUUAGCAUUCUAACAUUGGAGAACUACUGGUGCUGGAGAGUUCAGAUGACCAAUGGUGAAUUUUAUCUCACAUUACUAGCUUCUUCAGUUUUCUUCCCCUCAGUGCUCAGGCCACACAGCAUGUCCUGUGGGACUGGAGAAAUAUGGAGAAUGCAGCACACUUGCUUCCUACUGAAGAAAUCCCUGAAAAACCAGAUGGCAGAAGUUACUCAGAAGAAAUGAAAGGAUUUUCCAUUAUUCAAAUAGGAGGUGGAAGAGGAAGUGUGGGAGUAAUUACUGGAUUAAGAUCACUGAAAGACAAGAUUGUCUUUAAGGAAACAGAAGACUGAGAAGAAAAGAAGCUUGCUCAAGGUCACAUAGAGCUGGAAUUUAAAUUCAGAUCUAUUAUACUCUUAAGGACUGUGGAAGGAGCAAAAUCUGAUCCAGAGACUGUGGAUGCUGGAGGAGCGUCAAGGCUGGGAAAGUAACAUGCACUGUGUUCGCAAUCAACAGAAAAGAUAUUUUUAAACAAAAACAAUUUUCCAAGUUUCCAGGAAGAGAAACAAAAGGCUUUUCUAAAAUGAAAGAAACUGUUCUUCUCAUUCUGUGACUUUUAUGUCACUUGGACAACAAGCCAGUGCUUAGGAACGGUUAUUUUCCUGUCGACAUCGCUGCAUGGAUACUUCUUAGAAGAACAUAACAGCAUUAGCACUCAGUCCCAGGUUCUGCUCACCCUCCAAUGGCAGUCGUCUUCAAAAACAAUAAAGAUAUCUGUGCUUGGUCUCUCUGUCUUGAUUACACUGCAGGCACAACCUGUGUGGGGAAACAAUAUCCUGGAUCAUACUGAAGGUUCGCACAGAUGGAACAUUAGUGGGAGGGGUUGCCAGCUACUUCCCUGCCAACUUGUUAGUGCUGGAGACAUUAUCCUCUUAUUUUGCCAGUUUAACAGAAGAUCAGUCGUAAAGAUUCACUGUAGGCUCAGCAACAUAAUUAUUAUCUAUGGUCUCUGCAUUAACUGUGAGAAAACAUCAUAGUCUGAAUCUGCCUAAUUUCAAAUGCCAAGCUGUGCCCACAUUCAGCCCACAACUGAACCUGAAUACUCAAUAUAUCCUUAGCAUUGCUACUGUUGUCAUCAUGGUGGAUGUUAAGUACAGGUUUGCCCAAGCUAUGAUGUUUAAUUGUUGCCUUACUGCUUCUGUAUUUCUUCUGUUUCCCUGACCCUUUUCAACACCAGCCCCAUGCAAUUUAAAACUAUUAAAAAGGUAAAAAUCGGUGUCACAUUUAGUUCUGCUACUCAGUACAGAAGUGCCAAGCCCCUGCAAAUCUGGAAAACAAACUCCUUAACAGAUGGGCCACAUAAAGUUUACAACAUGUGCAAUGUGGGAGGUAGUAUGGCUCUGGGCAAGAAACAGAAGACUGGAAGUUUGGGAGCUCAGGGUUUUUGAAUUUGCUUUUGCUUUUUG